AGUGAACGCUGGCGGUAGGCCUAACACAUGCAAGUCGAACGGCAGCACAGUAAGAGCUUGCUCUUACGGGUGGCGAGUGGCGGACGGGUGAGGAAUACAUCGGAAUCUACUUUUUCGUGGGGGAUAACGUAGGGAAACUUACGCUAAUACCGCAUACGACCUACGGGUGAAAGCAGGGGAUCUUCGGACCUUGCGCGAUUGAAUGAGCCGAUGUCGGAUUAGCUAGUUGGCGGGGUAAAGGCCCACCAAGGCGACGAUCCGUAGCUGGUCUGAGAGGAUGAUCAGCCACACUGGAACUGAGACACGGUCCAGACUCCUACGGGAGGCAGCAGUGGGGAAUAUUGAACAAUGGGCGCAAGCCUGAUCCAGCCUUACCGCGUGGGUGAAGAAGGCCUUCGGGUUGUAAAGCCCUUUUGUUGGGAAAGAAAAGCAGCAGGUUAAUACCCCGCUGUUCUGACGGUACCCAAAGAAUAAGCACCGGCUAACUUCGU
rnacentral:rRNA from 1 species